CAUGGCGGUCGUCAGCUCGUGUUGUGAAAUGUUGGGUUAAGUCCCGCAACGAGCGCAACCCUUAUCCUUUGUUUCCAGCGCGUGAUGGCGGGAACUCAAAGGAGACUGCCGGUGAUAAACCGGAGGAAGGUGGGGAUGACGUCAAGUCAUCAUGGCCCUUACGAGUAGGGCUACACACCUGCUACAAUGGGGUAUACAAAGGGAAGCGACCCUGCGAAGGCAAGCGGAACUCAUAAAAUACGUCGUAGUCCGGAUUGGAGUCUGCAACUCGACUCCCUGAAGUAGGAAUCGCUCGUGAUCGUAGAUCAGAAUGCUACGGUGAAUACGUUCCCGGGCCUUGUACACACCGCCCGUCACACCAUGGGAGUGGGUUGCAAAAGAAGUAGGUAGCUUAACCUUCGGGAGGGCGCUUACCACUUUGUGAUUCAUUACUGGGG
rnacentral:rRNA from 1 species